AUCGCCGCCGGAGACGACAUCCUCACCACCUCAUGGACAAUGGGUAGAGACAAGGCCUUAGUCCAUUUAUCAUAACUGUCCAGGGCUGGGGCCACCAAGCCCCCUAUCCAAACAGACCACAGUUUAAAUCUACAGCUCCCCCUGGACCUGAUUGCCUUCUUCUGACGCUGUGAUAAUUUUCUGUCAUAGCUAUAGCAGAUUGAGGCCCCUGUAUCUGUCCUUUUCAGGACUAGUCGGUGGGGCUGUCACAGUGCUAUUGCCCCCCAUAGUCCACUGGACUCCACACAGAGGGACCUCAAGCUGUAGUCACCUGUCACCUGCAUAUUCUAUAGCCCCUGAGCUAUCAACAUUGGUAUGGGACCAGGGAAGAUCUAAAACCUUGGUCCUCAGUCUGCUCUCUGAAAUUCUCAGGUCAUGGGACCCAAGGGGAAUAAAAAUGGUUCUAACUACUGUGCCCAAACCCAGGGUGGAAAAUAGGUAUAUGGGUUUCAGGGACAGGGGUA
rnacentral:lncRNA from 1 species